rnacentral:rRNA from 1 species
AGAGCGAACGCUGGCGGCAGGCUUAACACAUGCAAGUCGAGCGGGCGUAGCAAUACGUCAGCGGCAGACGGGUGAGUAACGCGUGGGAACAUACCUUUUGGUUCGGAACAACACAGGGAAACUUGUGCUAAUACCGGAUAAGCCCUUACGGGGAAAGAUUUAUCGCCGAAAGAUUGGCCCGCGUCUGAUUAGCUAGUUGGUGAGGUAACGGCUCACCAAGGCGACGAUCAGUAGCUGGUCUGAGAGGAUGAUCAGCCACAUUGGGACUGAGACACGGCCCAAACUCCUACGGGAGGCAGCAGUGGGAAUAUUGGACAAUGGGCGCAAGCCUGAUCCAGCCAUGCCGCGUGAGUGAUGAAGGCCCUAGGUUGUAAAGCUCUUUGUGCGGAAGAUAAUGACGGUACCGCAAGAAUAAGCCCCGGCUAACUUCGUGCCAGCAGCCGC